rnacentral:lncRNA from 1 species
AGGUUUUAAAUGAUAAAAGUGGUUAGCUUUCUUCGGUUAAUGGUAAAAUGAGGAAAACAAAAAUAAGUGUAAAUGGGAGAUUAAUCCAAGUUAAGGGACAUAACUCUUUUAAAUUUUUAGUACAAUUGUGUCAAAUAUUUUCAUGUACAAAUUGUAAUCUUGUGAGUAACACUCUGUUUCACAUGAAUGCUUAUAAAGCAUUAACAAAACUAUCACAAAUACCUUAUCAUUUAAUAAAGUCAUCUACCCCCACCUUU